GUGCCUUUGUCAUCUGCUAGCUCCUGCACUCAGCCAUGCCUAAAGGCUUGUUUUGGUGCUCCCAGAAACAGCUGAUAAAUGUGUUUGCAAUGAAGUGGAACAUGUUUAACACAACAAUGAUUAGAUGUAAGCUAAAAUGUCCUCAGAUUAAACAUCUAUCAAAAUCGCUCUUUUGAUUUUUAAGGAACAUAUGUGGUAGGUGCAUCAGGAGGAGACACUGUCAGACACAAUCUUUCUGAAGGAGUAGUUUCUGAAAAGAGGUUGAUGGAUGUACAUCAAAUUGCUGAUCUGCAAAGGCACUGCAAACCUAUGUUGAACCAUAUCCAGGAUGACAAGAUACUCUCAGCCUUUAAAUCUUGUGGUCU
ensembl:lncRNA